UACGUAGGGUGCAAGCGUUGUCCGGAAUUCUUGGGCGUAAAGAGCUCGUAGGCGGUCUGUCGCGUCGGAUGUGAAAAUCCAGGGCUCAACCCUGGACCUGCAUUCGAUACGGGCAGACUAGAGUUCGGCAGGGGAGACUGGAAUUCCUGGUGUAGCGGUGAAAUGCGUAGAUAUCAGGAGGAAUACCGAUGGCGAAGGCAGGUCUCUGGGCUGACACUGACGCUCAUGCACGAAAGCGUGGGGAGCAAACAGG
rnacentral:rRNA from 1 species